rnacentral:sRNA from 1 species
CCGUGGCAGGAACCCCGCACUCCUACAUAGACACGUACUUUGACACAGAGAGGUCUAGCACAUACCGCUCCAAGGGCUUUGACGUCACAGUGAAGUACACACAAGGAAGCUGGACGGGUUUCGUUGGGGAAGACUUCGUCACCAUCCCCAAAGGCUUCAAUACUUCUUUUCUUGUCAACAUUGCCACUAUUUUUGAAUCAGAGAAUUUCUUUUUGCCUGGGAUUAAAUGGAAUGGAAUACUUGGCCUAGCUUAUGCCACACUUGCCAAGCCAUCAAGUUCUCUGGAGACCUUCUUCGACUCCCUGGUGACACAAGCAAACAUCCCCAACGUUUUCUCCAUGCAGAUGUGUGGAGCUGGAUUGCCCGUUGCUGGAUCUGGGACCAACGGAGGUAGUCUUGUCUUGGGUGGAAUUGAACCAAGUUUGUAUAAAGGAGACAUCUGGUAUACCCCUAUUAAGGAAGAGUGGUACUACCAGAUAGAAAUUCUGAAAUUGGAAAUUGGAGGCCAAAGCCUUAAUCUGGACUGCAGAGAGUAUAACGCAGACAAGGCCAUCGUGGACAGUGGCACCACGCUGCUGCGUCUGCCCCAGAAGGUGUUUGAUGCAGUGGUGGAAGCUGUGGCCCGCGCAUCUCUGGUGAGUCCUCGGGACACUCACGGGUCCCCGAGUUACGAGUUACAGUCACCUGCUGAGGAGCAGCACUGCGUGUUCUGAGCAUCUCUGAACUAUUGCGCCAUGUAUUUCAAAUUUUCAUAUUGUGUAUUUGUAUAUUUAUGUGUAAUAGUAUAGGUGUAAUAUGUAAAUAUAUUUUAUAUGUAUUUAAAAUCUUUAUAUUUUGAAGG